rnacentral:rRNA from 1 species
UACGUAGGGACCGAGCGUUGUCCGGAUUCAUUGGGCGUAAAGAGCUCGUAGGCGGCUGCUCAAGUCGAAUGUGAAAACUCGAGGCUCAACCUCGAGCCUGCAUUCGAUACUGGGCGGCUAGAGUCUGGUAGGGGGAUCUGGAAUUCCUGGUGUAGCGGUGAAAUGCGCAGAUAUCGGGAAGAACACCCGUGGCGAAGGCGGUUCUCUGGGACGGUACUGACGCUGAGACGCGAAAGCGUGGGGAGCGAACAGG